rnacentral:rRNA from 2 species
GCGCGCAAACUUUACAAUGCGAGCAAUCGUGAUAAGGAAACCCUGAGUGCCUGUUGAUGCAGGCUGUUCAUCUGUUUAAAUUGCAGGUGAAGAAAGGGCAGGGCAAGACCGGUGCCAGCCGCCGCGGUAAUACCGGCUGCUCGAGUGAUGGCCACUAUUACUGGGUUUAAAGCGUCCGUAGCUUGACUGAUAGGUCUCUUGGGAAAUCUUAACGCUUAACGUUAAGGCGUCUAAGAGAUACCGUCAGUCUUGGAACUGGGAGAGGUAAACCGUACUUCGGGGGUAGGAGUGAAAUCUUGUAAUCCUCGAGGGACGACCUAUGGCGAAGGCAGUUUACCAGAACAGCUUCGACAGUGAGGGACGAAAGCUGGGGGAGCAAACGGG